rnacentral:rRNA from 1 species
CGGGUGAGUAACGCGUGGGUAACCUGCCAUAUACAGGGGGAUAACACUUAGAAAUAGGUGCUAAUACCGCAUAAGCGCACAGUAUUGCAUGAGACAGUGUGAAAAACUACGGUGGUAUAUGAUGGACCCGCGUCUGAUUAGCUGGUUGGUGAGGUAACGGCCCACCAAGGCGACGAUCAGUAGCCGGCCUGAGAGGGUGGACGGCCACAUUGGGACUGAGACACGGCCCAAACUCCUACGGGAGGCAGCAG